AGUGAACGCUGGCGGUAGGCCUAACACAUGCAAGUCGAACGGCAGCACAGUAAGAGCUUGCUCUUACGGGUGGCGAGUGGCGGACGGGUGAGGAAUACAUCGGAAUCUACUUUUUCGUGGGGGAUAACGUAGGGAAACUUACGCUAAUACCGCAUACGACCUACGGGUGAAAGCAGGGGAUCUUCGGACCUUGCGCGAUUGAAUGAGCCGAUGUCGGAUUAGCUAGUUGGCGGGGUAAAGGCCCACCAAGGCGACGAUCCGUAGCUGGUCUGAGAGGAUGAUCAGCCACACUGGAACUGAGACACGGUCCAGACUCCUACGGGAGGCAGCAGUGGGGAAUAUUGGACAAUGGGCGCAAGCCUGAUCCAGCCAUACCGCGUGGGUGAAGAAGGCCUUCGGGUUGUAAAGCCCUUUUAUUGGGAAAGAAAAGCAGCAGGUUAAUACCCCGCUGUUCUGACGGUACCCAAAUAAUAAGCACCGGCUAACUUCGUG
rnacentral:rRNA from 1 species